rnacentral:rRNA from 1 species
ACGAACGCUGGCGGCGUGCUUAACCCAUGCAAGUCGCACGGAAAGGCCCUGCUUUUGUGGGGUGCUCGAGUGGCGAACGGGUGAGUAACACGUGAGUAACCUGCCCUUGACUUUGGGAUAACUUCAGGAAACUGGGGCUAAUACCGGAAAGGAGCUCCUGCUGCAUGGUGGGGGUUGGAAAGUUUGGGCGGUUGGGGAUGGACUCGCGGCUUAUCAGCUUGUUGGGGGGGUAGUGGCUUACCAAGGCUUUGACGGGUAGCCGGCCUGAGAGGGUGACCGGCCACAUUGGGCCUGCGAUACGGCCCAGACUCCUACGGGAGGCAGCAGUGGGGAAUAUUGCACAAUGGGCGGAAGCCUGAUGCAGCAACGCCGCGUGCGGGAUGACGGCCUUCGGGUUGUAAACCGCUUUCGCCUGUGACGAAGCGUGAGUGACGGUAAUGGGUAAAGAAGCACCGGCUAACUACGUG